CUUAGCAACAAAACUGGAGGAGGAGCAAGGGAUGGGGCCGGGAGGUGCACUGGAAGAAGGGAGGAGGGUGUAGAAGGAGGGAGAUGGUCUCAGCUGUGACAAAAACUCUGCCAUCCAGGUGAUAGGCAAGCUCACAAACAGAAAAAGCAGAACAUCUUGAGUGAUACAGAGAACAAAAACUUCUCCUGAAGAAGUGCAGUCAGUAAAGACAAAGAGGGAGAAGAAGUAAAAGUGAAACUCUUGGAGGAUCGCCACCUCCUCAUCUGCACCUACCAUUGGUUUUAGCUCUCUGCCCUCAGCUCCACCUCCCUGGCCAGCUUCUUUCAUAGAUUUCCUACUAUUCUCCACAAAUUCCUGAAAAACAGUCAUAAAGUGAAAAACACUUUCUUAGAGCGGACUCAAAACAUCAAAUCUCAAUACAAAACUUCAAGAUGCAACUGCUCCAAAUGACAACACAACUUGUUCCUCCCACUUCUCAUGGUCAGACUUGCCCAUGAAGUACCAGAAGAGCCUGUCAAACAGCCACAAGGAUCCCCCUUGUUUCGUUCUAGAAGCCAGACAGUUAUUUGCCUUGCGUGCUGUUACAACUUUUACACUUAACACACAAUGUUCUCCAUUAUGGGGAAGAAAGGUAGGAGGAUGGCUGUCAAACCUCCCCCCCCAGAUAUCCUAGUUAUUGCAUGCUAUCCUGUGAAUUGUGUGUAGUGUUAGAACUCCAUUGAAGAGAGGCAAUAUUUGCUUGCAAGGCCUUGUUGACUUCCCUUAUGCCCCUCAAUUUAAACUCCUGAACUUUUCAUGGGAUCACUGUGAUCAAUUCAGAAAGAUUAGCAAAGGUGUUCGUUCCAUUUUAUGUCAUUUUUUCUCUUAAAAUUUCAGCCAACUUUAGCUUCUAGUGUUUUCUGAUAUUGACUGUUCACUAAAGAAACCCGCAAUGCUUUUAUGAUUCAUCUGUGCUGUCAUCUGAGGUAGCAUGCUGUAUUUUACUCUUAUUCUGUGCCAAAAAUUCAACCUUUUUAUUUAUUA